rnacentral:rRNA from 1 species
GAGUUUGAUCCUGGCUCAGAACGAACGCUGGCGGCGUGGCUAAGGCAUGCAAGUCGAACGGGCCAUGAGGAUGGUAACUGAAUCAUGGUUAGUGGCGCACGGGUGAGGAAUACAUGGGUAACGUACCUUUGGCUCAGGGAUAGCGGCGCCCUUCGGGGCUUUAGCGAAAGUGCCGGUAAUACCUGAUGAAAUCCGGAGAUUACAUGGUUUCCGGAUCAAAGGGGGGGCUCCUUCGGGACCUCCUGCUUGGGGAUGAGCUUAUGUCCUAUUAGCUAGUUGGUGAGGUAAUGGCUCACCAAGGCGAUGAUGGGUAGCCGAGCUGAGAGGCUGAUCGGCCACACUGGAACUGAAACACGGUCCAGACUCCUACGGGAGGCAGCAGUGGGGAAUUUUGCGCAAUGGGCGAAAGCCUGACGCAGCGACGCCGCGUGAGGGAUGAAGGUUCUCGGAUCGUAAACCUCUGUCAGGAAGGAUUAAAUGCAUGGAUGCAAAUACCAUCCAUGCUUGACUUAACUUCCAAAGGAAGCCCCGGCUAACUACGUGCCAGCAGCCGCGGUAAUACGUAGGCAGCAAGCGUUGUUCGGAAUUACUGGGCGUAAAGAGUGUGUAGGUGGUGUCGUAAGUUUGGUGUGAAAUCUCCCGGCUUAACUGGGAGGGUGCGCCGAAGACUGCGAUGCUGGAGUAUGGGAGAGGAAAGCGGAAUUCCUGGUGUAGCGGUGAAAUGCGUAGAUAUCANGAGGAACACCUGCGGUGUAGACGGCUUUCUGGACCAUUACUGACACUG